AACGAACGCUGGCGGCAUGCCUAACACAUGCAAGUCGAACGAAACCUUCGGGUCUAGUGGCGCACGGCUGCGUAACGCGUGGUAACCUGCCCUUAGGUUCGGAAUAACUGCCCGUAGGGUGUGCUAAUGCCGCUUAAUGUCAUCCGACCAAAGAUUUAUCGCUUUUGGAUGGGCCCUCGUUGGAUUAGCUGGUUGGUAGGGUAAUAGCAUACCAAGGCGACGAUCCAUAGCUGGUCGGGUAGGAUGAUCAGCCAGGCUGGGACUGCGACACGGCCUAGAAUCGGACGGGGAGGAGCGGUGGGGAGUAUUGGACGAGGAGCGAAAGUGUGAUCAAGCAAUGCGGCGGGAGUGAUGAAGGCCUUAGGAUUGUAAAGCCCUUUUAGACGGGAUGAUAGUGACAGUAACGGGUGAAUAAGCUCCGGCUAACUACGUG
rnacentral:rRNA from 1 species